rnacentral:rRNA from 1 species
CGCAUCUGUGCAUGCAGCAUAUCAAUAAGCGGAGGAAAAGAAACUAACAAGGAUUCCCCUAGUAACGGCGAGUGAAGCGGGAAGAGCUCAAAUUUGAAAUCUUAAAGGGUUUCCCUUUACGAAUUGUAGUUUAAAGAAGUGUUUUCUGUUGAGGUUUUGGUAAAAGUUCUUUGGAAUAGGACAUCAUAGAGGGUGAGAAUCCCGUAUUUGACCUUUACUUUCAACUUUGUGAUACACUUUCAAAGAGUCGGAUUGUUUGGGAAUGCAGUCCAAAAUGGGUGGUAAAUUUCAUCUAAAGCUAAGUAUUGGCGAGAGACCGAUAGCGAACAAGUACCGUGAGGGAAAGAUGAAAAGAACUUUGAAAAGAGAGUUAAACAGUACGUGAAAUUGUCAAAAGGGAAGCGUUUGACACCAGUGUUGUUUUUCUGAAAAUCAAUUAAAGAACUGUUUAUGCUAAGCUGUUUAGACAUUUAUCAGCUAACUGUUUAGUUUUGAGCUUUUCUUUAAUGCACUUUUCAGUUAACAAGUCAACAUCUAAUUUCUUUUGCUGUAAAAAAGCUUGAGGAAGGUGGCUUGAGAUUCGUCUUAAGUGUUUAUAGCCUCUUGCCUAUGCAGUCGGAGAGAUUGAGGUCUGCAGCGUAGAUCCUUCGGGGCUAAAUGCAUUUGUGCUAAGUUAUAGCAUUUUAUAGACAACUUGUUGACUAUGAUUUGUCUUGUAGCUUACUCGCUUAUGUUAUUUUACCUACGCUUAGGAUGUUGAACGCGCACAGAGUCUC